rnacentral:rRNA from 1 species
GUGAACGCUGGCGGUAGGCCUAACACAUGCAAGUCGCACGGCAGCACAGGAGAGCUUGCUCUCUGGGUGGCGAGUGGCGGACGGGUGAGGAAUACAUCGGAAUCUGCCCAGUCGUGGGGGAUAACGUAGGGAAACUUACGCUAAUACCGCAUACGACCUUCGGGUGAAAGAGGGGGAUCGCAAGACCUCUCGCGAUUGGAUGAGCCGAUGUCGGAUUAGCUAGUUGGCGGGGUAAUGGCCCACCAAGGCGACGAUCCGUAGCUGGUCUGAGAGGAUGAUCAGCCACACUGGAACUGAGACACGGUCCAGACUCCUACGGGAGGCAGCAGUGGGGAAUAUUGGACAAUGGGCGCAAGCCUGAUCCAGCCAUACCGCGUGGGUGAAGUAGGCCUUCGGGUUGUAAAGCCCUUUUGUUGGGAAAGAAAUCGUUCAGGCUAAUACCCUGGGAGGAUGACGGUACCCAAAGAAUAAGCACCGGCUAACUUCGUG